AGUCAAAUGAAUAGCCAUGGCUGUGGAAUUUUCAUGUUGAUGGUACGACCAUUUCAUAUUGUAACUAUCAUUUUUUGUAUGUCUGUAUUUAAUGUUGUGUCCAGGUUUCCAAAGGACCAUUUUGUGGUGUCUCUGUAUUUCAUCCUCGAUGUCCCCUUCAAUUUUAAUGAGUUGUGUCUCAACUUUAGUCCUCUCUUCUUUCAUUGUAGUAUUUGUAGAGGGAGGAUUAUAUCUGGUUGCUGGUUCCCAUUUUUGUCACCUUCUACAAUUUGUGUUGGAUAUUUGUGUUAUGUUUAACUUAUUUUUUAUAUUUGUUUUUUUUUUAAUUUCAACAUACUGUCCAUAGUGGUUUUGAAGUUCCAGAAAUGCCUACCUUUCAAAAUCCAAAUCAUUUAAAUGUAUGUUUAUAAUGGUUUGCAUAAAUAUUUUUGUAACAUUAAACUCCUUUUAACAACGUGACUCUGCUCAGUCCUCUUUAGAAUGACAUGCUGGCUUUGUGGAAGAGCUGGUGUAGAAUGUUACUUGAGAACUCCAGCACCAAGGGGUUUAGACUUUAUUGAGCCAUUAAUGAGAAGACAGAGUAAAGACUUGGCACUACAUCUGAAAUGAACAAAUGUCUUGCUAUUCUGUUCCAUAGCACUGCAUUCUGCAGAUUUCAGAUUUUUUCUUUUAGAAGAAACGUCAGCCUCUCUUCUCCAACAUCCAGCACAGGGCACUGAUGAGCAGCAGCAUGGAAUCCUUCAGCAUUUCACCGAGGCACAGAAGUGGUGUGCUGAGAACAUUUCUGUGUUCAGAGGGCGAAUCUCACUCCCUGCAUUACUGUCAAUGGACAAAGACGACACUGAGGAGGCCCUUGAGAAAUUUGAUUUGCUAUCUGAA